rnacentral:piRNA from 1 species
UACUCAAAUAAGGUUAUUUUCUGGGUAGC